rnacentral:rRNA from 1 species
GUUGCAGUUAAAAGCUCGUAGUUGACCUUGGGUCUGGCUGGCCGGUCCGCCUCACCGCGAGUACUGGUCCGGCUGGACCUUUCCUUCUGGGGAACCUCAUGGCCUUCACUGGCUGUGGGGGGAACCAGGACUUUUACUGUGAAAAAAUUAGAGUGUUCAAAGCAGGCCUUUGCUCGAAUACAUUAGCAUGGAAUAAUAGAAUAGGACGUGUGGUUCUAUUUUGUUGGUUUCUAGGACCGCCGUAAUGAUUAAUAGGGAUAGUCGGGGGCGUCAGUAUUCAGCUGUCAGAGGUGAAAUUCUUGGAUUUGCUGAAGACUAACUACUGCGAAAGCAUUCGCCAAGGAUGUUUUCAUUAAUCAGGGAACGAAAGUUAGGGGAUCGAAGACGAUCAGAUACCGUCGUAGUCUUAACCAUAAACUAUGCCGACCAAGGAUCGGAUGGUGUUAUAUUUAUAUUGACCCAUUCGGCAUUUCAGCGAAAGCCAAGUUUUUGGGUUCCGGGGGGAGUAUGGUCGCAAGGCUGAAACUUAAAGGAAUUGACGGAAGGGCACCACCAGGAGUGGAGCCUGCGGCUUAAUUUGACUCAACACGGGGAAACUCACCAGGUCCAGACAUAGUAAGGAUUGACAGAUUGAGAGCUCUUUCUUGAUUCUAUGGGGUGGUGGUGCAUGGCCGUUCUUAGUUCGUGGAGUGAUUUGUCUGGUUAAUUCCGAUAACGAACGAGACCUUACUCUGCUAAAUAGCCAGCAUGACUUUGGUCGUGUCCUUUUUGGCUUCUUAGAGAGACUAUCAUGUUUAUUGAUGGAAGUUUGAGGCAUAACAGUCUGUGAUGCCUUAGAUGUCUGGGCCGCACGCGCGCUACACUGAU